UUUGUGCCAAUUUUCUUAUUAAAGUAGUAGAGGUGGUUUGUUUCCUAUGGAACUGUUUGCUAUAUUGUUCUGUUUGACAUUUACAACUAAUCACAAGAGACUUGACGGCAAACUACUAUCCAGUUUAUAGAAACGCCGAAUAACUUCAAGCUUCUGCUCUAUAUGAAUUGCGAACUGCCAGUCUACAUCAAAAUCCUUAUCGGGCAUUGCAUAUGAAACUCGAUUUCAGAAAGAAAUGAGAAACGCCAUGCUCCACUAAGGGAUCUGCUUGAACUUGCUUCAAAGGUUAAUGAACUGAAAUCUUCAUUGUGCAGAACUUAUCAUAUGGGAGAGGCUAAUUAUCCUAAGAUUCUUCAAUGUUCUGUCCACAACUGGAAUGCAAGAUUUCAAAGGACUCCUAGUAAAUUCCAUUCAUCGAACAUAAAGACGCAGAUGCUGAUCUAAGGUUUAAUAUUCAGCAGUUGCGACUUGCCAGUUCAGUUUCUGAAAUCGUCUUGCCAGCGGAAUGGUAAAACUACUACUGAAGUACUUUUAUGUUUGAAAUAUAUUGGAAAUAAUUGUACAGCAUCUUAUUUCAAGUGACUUUACCAAUGAAUUGCUCAACUUAAAUUUUUAGUAAUGAGAUUACUCUGAAGAAUUGCUUGUACUCAAGUUGUAGAUUCAGCCAUGAAAUUAACUUUAACAGGUUGCUGUAAAUGCUCGUUGACCAUUAUGCAAGGGAACUUCAAUAUAUUUAGUAAGUUUUCAAAUUCUUCAUAAAUUCUUUAAACAUUAAAAGCGGAGAUAAAUGUAAACUUGAUUUUUAAUUACCUCGAAUGAAACGGACAAAGCUACUGCAAUUGCCUUAAACUGCUUCAUUUUUGUAAAUACUCUAACGUAACCAGUAAUCUCAAUUUCCAAUCCUUAAAAUUUAAUUAUUCAACGCAUUUAUGAAUUCUACUCAGUACUGAUAAUGCUCUCCUCAGACCAUUAUAAAUAGGAUGCCUUUAAGUUUUUCUUACAGAAACUUAAUAGAAAAUAUCGUCCAGAUAAGAUCACUAAAUUUUAAAUGGUAUACUAAACAAUAUUUUCAGCGAAAUAGAUAUGAAGAGACAUUUUAUAAUAGAUUAUAUUAGAUUGCCGAAGUGAAGAUAUCUUAUCGUUAUAAUGUUUCAGCUCAAUCGUCGGCAUCGGUAAAGGGCUUUUGAUCUAAAAUUCUUUUAAAAGAUGCGUACUUUAAAUUUUAGUUGUCUAGGGUAGGUAUUAUAGGUAGGUUGACUAGUGUAGGUAUAAUGUACAACAUUUUCUUGAAUUUGAUUGGCAUAUGGCUAUCAUUUGCAUAUGCCAAAGUUGAAGUAAAAUUGCACUUAACUGGUUCACUAUGAAUAGUUGAAACGAUUGCGUGAGACCUAGAGAAUAGGUAGGGAUGGGGAUGGUUGACACGUUAAGUAAUUUACCGGUCCCUGUUUACUUUCCGUCUAGUCUGUUUGGGACCGGCGGACUAAACGGAAAGUAUCGGUCCCCAGGUAUCCGGCACUUAACGUGUUGCCUAUGAGUAGGGUUAGAAGCCAUCGUGAAAGAAUAUAUCGAGCGACUUCUAAAUUAAUACGAUACAGUAAGGAGAUCUGUAAUUGGCUUAAAUGACAGAUCAAUAUGACGGGGAAGGAAGUUUGAACCUGUUGAGUGUAAUUUAUACUUUAGUUUAUAAUUGUCGUUGCCACUAUCUCAAUUUGAAUAAGAUUUAAACGCGUAGGUGUUAAUGUAUUAGUAAAUUUAGCGUUUAACAAAGAAACGCAGACCUGGUACUAAAUUUUACUAGAAACUUACGCUUACUAUGACUAUUAAUGAAUUUUAAGACAUUUUAAAGAUUAAUGUAAAAAUACAUUUUGUAUUUCUCCGUUCCCGAAGAAUAGUAUCGCAGACAUGAAUAUUUAAACAGCACUUUUCUGUUUUUGUCUUUAAUGUGUAAAAUUCAAUCUCAAUUGUAGUAAGUGGGUCAGGGAUGUUUAGACUAUAUUGAAUGUCUGGUUUCAAUACUUAAUUUUAUCUGCAAAAUUUUUAAAUAAACAUUCUCUCGCUAGUGAAUUCGCUAAUGGUCUGAGGAGUCUUGAGGGCAAGAGUUUUAAAGCUGUUAAUUUAUAAUUUCCUUCAAUAAUCGAACUUAAACAAUUCACUUGAAGAAAUUCUAAAUAGGGCCUUCUAAAACUUAAUUGUCAUUUAAUCUAACAUCAAUCUGAUUCGGAAGAAAAUCAAAUUAUUUGCUUCGGUUUAUGGCAAUAUUUAUCUGUAUCCCUUAGUUAAAAAUAUUAAAUAUCGGUUAUGUGAUAAUUACACCAAAUCUGUAGCUGGAACAGCAAUGGUGAAUAAAGAAUCAUCGUUAAAUAUACAGCUCUCUUCUAGGAUCAACGUUUAGUAUUUUUCCAAGAAAAUGUAAUCAGAUCUUGAAUUUUCUAGAUUAUCUCGCAAUUAAUAUUGUAAUGUGGAUUACUAGAAUCCAGUGCAAUUCCACAAAUAGAAUAUCCAUUGCUCUAUUUCGAAUGGUUAAUCUAAAACCCACUUAAAUUUUACACUAAUCGAUUGCAAUUGUUAUAUUUAGUUACCGUCACUAAAUUAAAUCCUCGCAAUUGUCCGUUUCAUUUGAAUAUAAAGCUCCAAGUAAAUUCCUUUAAUUUAUAACGGAAUGUUUAUAACCUCCAACUCAAAUUAAACCUAAAUAUUUUUGGUAUGCAAACUUAAUUAAAUGAUGCAUUUCUAUCGGGAACUUAAUUCGUGGAAUAAUUCGUCUUAAUUUUCAUGCCAUGUAUGGACGUUAAAAAAGCAAACCUCAAUAUACGUAAUGCAAACUUUUUAUUUGGUAUUGGGUAGUUUCGGAAUAUUAAUUUUAUUGAAGUUCCAUUGCUGUUUUAAAACUUUAAUUGAAGUAACUUUCUAUUGUAACCGUGAAACUGAUUUCUUGUUUAGCCGCUAAUAUUUUAAAUUUGAUCUUGACUCUUAUAAAUAGCUUAAAGGACGACUCUUCCACAAUAGAUUGCAUUCUUAAGAUUAUGAACUGUAAUUGCAUGAUACAUUAAAUUCUAGAUUUUCUUUUUGUAAUUGUAAUACUUUAAAUAUUGUGAUUACGUAUUAAGUGUAGUGCAAAUCUAUCUCAAGGCUGGAUGAUGCAUGGACUAAAUAGAUUCUGUGCGACAUUCCUUAACCUUAAAUGCUUAAUUACGGUUAAAUAUCUAGUUUAACUAAUCGUUAUUUUGAUACGAGUUAGCAAAAGCUUCAAACGGGAAUUCAUACAAUUGAAUUGAUUUUAAUUUUUCAGACGUUUCUAAUCCCUAAAUUUAAAUCAUAAUCUCAAUUUUCCAAACUUACUCUUUAUGGAGUAAUGAAUAUGUAUUUCUUAAAUAAGAUUAAUUUAAAAAUAAAAGUUGAUGCAUUAAAAUUCAGAUUUUCCGUCUUGUAUCAGAUUUUCAAGCAUUGAUAGCAAAGUUGUAAAAGUGGAGGACACGAAUACGCAAUACUUGGAAAAACGGGGAAUUAACUUGUGUAGGAUUCUGGACAUGUUUUAAAAAUUGUGAAUAGAUACAAAUGUUUAAACUUUAAUAGUAGCCGAAAAUGCCAGAAAAAUUAAAUUUACCUUAGAGUGGAAGAAUUUCAGUUUGGCGUUAUAACCCCAAAAUCGUUAUAUCCAUUAGUUCCAACCUUGUUAAUGAUAGGCUUAACGCGUUAAUGGAUGUCAACAAUUUUUAAAACGUGUAGCGAAUAACGCAGAUAUUGUAUUUAAAUGCAAUUCUCCGAAACUAUUUCUUUCAUCUGAUCGCGGUUCAAAAUUACGAGGUCCGUUCUAAAAUAGCUGUAGUGUUACUUUAAAAAAACGGGACGUUAAUAUAAUCUGAUCCUAAGCGAUUUCUUUAAGGAAUGAAACCUCAUCAAUACAAACUCGGCAAUUUUAAAUGACUAAUCUUGCUAUUAUAUCUUCCAUCAAAGAAACUUUAAAAUCUUGUGCAUAGGUACCAGACAAGUCCGCUUUACUUAUCUAAAUUCUGGUCUUUUAUAGAUGCAAACAUGAACUUCUAAAAGUUCUCGCGAUUAAUUUUCAUAAACACUUUAAUCGUGCGCCACAAAAGUUUAAAAAUCUUAAACUGAACGUAAAUCGGGACUCCCGUAAGGUUAAGUCUCCACUAGCUGAAAGUGGCCUGUAGCUUCGCCGGCAAGCUAAUAGACCACCUUUCAUUUCAUUUGAGGCAUUUCGAUCGCGAUGCCUGGCCAACAUUCGAUCGA